CUAUUCUAUACUGUUAGUGGAGGUUGAUCAUCUCUAACCAUGACCCAGACAGUAUUUUACUAUUCUAUACUGUUAGAGGUGGUUGAUCAUCUCUAACCAUGACCCAGACAGUAUUUUACUAUUCUAUACUGUUAGAGGUGGUUGAUCAUCUCUAACCAUGACCCAGACAGUAUUUUACUAUUCUAUACUGUUAGUGGAGGUUGAUCAUCUCUAACCAUGACCCAGACAGUAUUUUACUAUUCUAUACUGUUAGUGGAGGUUUAUCAUCUCUAACCAUGACCCAGACAGUAUUUUACUAUUCUAUACUGUUAGAGGUGGUUGAUCAUCUCUAACCAUGACCCAGACAGUACUCUAUACUGUUAGAGGUGGUUGAUCAUCUCUAACCAUGACCCAGACAGUAUUUUACUAUUCUAUACUGUUAGUGGAGGUUUAUCAUCUCUAACCAUGACCCAGACAGUAUUUACUAUUCUGGUAUGACCCAGUGUCACUAGGGCGUGAUCUAGUAUAUCUAUGUCAAUGUUGUGUUCUAGUUUUUAUUUCUAUGUUGACCUGGUAUGGUUCCCAAUCAGAGGCAGCUGUUUAUCGUUGUCUCUGAUUGUGGAUCAUAUUUAGGCAGCCAUUUCCCCACAGUGUUUUGUGGGAUCUUGUUUAUGUGUUGUUGCCUGUGAUCACUUCAUUUGCAUCACGUUUCGUUUGUUCGUUCUUGU